rnacentral:rRNA from 1 species
GACGAACGCUGGCGGCGUGCUUAACACAUGCAAGUCGAGCGGAAAGGCCACUUCGGUGGUACUCGAGCGGCGAACGGGUGAGUAACACGUGAGUAAUCUGCCCUUGGCUUUGGGAUAGCCACCGGAAACGGUGAUUAAUACCGGAUACGACCACUUCUCGCAUGGGAUGGUGGUGGAAAGUUUUUCGGCCGGGGAUGUGCUCGCGGCCUAUCAGCUUGAUGGUGAGGUAAUGGCUCACCAUGGCUUCGACGGGUAGCCGGCCUGAGAGGGUGACCGGUCACACUGGGACUGAGACACGGCCCAGACUCCUACGGGAGGCAGCAGUGGGGAAUAUUGGACAAUGGGCGGAAGCCUGAUCCAGCAACGCCGCGUGAGGGAUGACGGCCUUCGGGUUGUAAACCUCUUUCGGUGGGGACGAAGCGCAAGUGACGGUACCCACUAAAGAAGCACCGGCCAACUACGUGCCAGCCGCCGCGGUAAUAC